rnacentral:rRNA from 1 species
GGGGGAAAAUGGGACAAAGGGCGCAAGCCUGAAGCAGCCACGACGCGAGUAGGAAGAAGGCCUCCGGGAGGAAAAGGACGUGAAGUGGGGAGGAAGGGAGGAAAGGAAACACCGUGGCGAAGGGAAGAUACACGAAGAAGAAGCAAAGGCAAACGCCGUGCCAGCAGGCGCGGAAAUACGGAGGGUGCAAGCGUUAAUCGGAAGUACGGGGCGUAAAGCGCACGCAGGCGGUUUGUUAAGUCAGAUGUGAAAUCCCCGGGCUCAACCUGUGAACUGCAUCUGAUUCUGGCAAGCUUGAGUCUCAUAGAGGGGGGUAGAAUUCCAGGUGUAGCGCUGACAUGCGUAGAGAUCUGGAGGUAUACCGCUGGCGAAGGCGGCCCCCUUGACGAAGCCUGACGCUCAGGUGCGAAAGCGUGGGGAGCAAACCGG